AUGAGUGGUGUUUGGCGCCCCCUACUGGUUGCCUAUAAAUAAGAGGGGAAACCGGAAAUUCCACACAGACGGUUUUGCACUCUUAUGUGGUAAGUCAUCAAAUCUGGUUCUCCUCUGACUUGUUUUUGUGGUUUUGUUCGGGGACUAAAUUGGAGUGUUGUUGCGAUACACAGAGUGACAGGUGGACCAGUAAGGGCGGCUAACAGGAUGUUUCUGUCAACCACUCAUUACAGGCGGGACGGCAACUUUCGGAAAGAACAACCCAAACAGUUUAUGGGCUGGCUAAUGCCGAUCGCAUGAGCAGGAACUAAACAGACCACAGAGGCAGCCGCAGCUGUUAUUUGUGAGAGUAAAGUUGAGCAAUAAAGAAAAUGCUUUCUUUUACAAUGCUUUUUACUUUUUAUGCUUUUUUUUCUCUCGGUAAAGAAAUUCUGCUGAUGUCAACAACCAUAAUUAGCUUAAUCUGCGAUGGUUUUACUUUUCUCAGUGUCUGAGCCAAAGAGUGUUUGACUGCACCUGUAGUUUGGUGGGAUGUCAGUACUUUAAUUUCCCAAAGUAAAAUGAGCUUGAAAUGACUUUCUGAAGCCAGAUUCAGUGUUUUAUUAAAAUUUAGUCUAGAUGGACAGAGUUAGAGUGGCAUGACAACGCUGACAGAAAAAAAACGCUUUGACAACUAUUUAGUGUUAAUAAACUCACUAAAAUAAUAUAAAGCACACAAGUUAUGUGUAGAAAAGUGAUAUUAGUAUCCUAAUCCAGUAGGUUCCUGGGAGGGAUGCACUGUAAAACAUUUGAGCCACAGUUAGUUGUAUCUACUAUUUUCUAUUCUUUAAGUCAAAUAAAUUU